CAUAAUUGAACCGAGCACCUACAAUCCAAUCGUUCUUAAUCAUUCGAAUUCAUCUCGCUUGCAAGUUCCAUUCUCCUUUAUUAUUCGUUGUCUUACCAACCUGUGAAACUUAUCCGAAAUCCAUAUUUCUUUUUUGCCAAUAACAAUUAUGGCGAUAGACAAUAUGGACAGUUUUGAUUAUUUUUGAUUAUUCAGAUAGAUUAAUCCAACAUGAUUGUUCAAUAAGGGUCGAAGGACGGUUGCUUUGAAAGGAUAUUCAUUAUGUUCCUGAAAGUGCGGAGUCUUCGUAACAGCUUUUAAAAGGUGACAAAAUCCCCUUAGAGCACGAUUCGCAAGGGUAGGCUAAAUUACAAUUAAUUAAUUGACUUCGACUCCCUGUAAUUCAUGCGGUAAGUCAAACUUAAUUAAUUACCCUUUAGGGUCAAAAAGAAGAGGGUUAAAGGAAAAAGAACUUUCCAUCUUCUGAUUUUAAGAGGUAUUUGUAAUGUUUUCGUUCAUGAACUGUUUGGUUCUUAAAAAUAUGCAUCAAUAAUUAGCUUCGUCAUAUCAAUCAGAGCUAAGUGAAAUUUAUUUUAAGUACUAAUUUAAAAAUAAUUACGUAAAAUAAUUUCAAAUAAAUUAUACAUAUAUAUAAAACUUAUUUCAAUUGAUGAUUAUGUUUUUCAUUUGUCAAUUAAAGGAAUUUGAGGCGAGGUGAAUAAUUGAGGAAAUAAUUUGAAGAAUUGAUUAUUUGAGGAACAUUCAGAAUAAGUAUUGAACAAUGAAUAAGGUAUAUUCUAAAAUUUUCAAAUUAUUUAUUUAUCGAAAAAUAAAAAGCUUCUUAAAAAAAGAAACAACAAGAUAAUAGAAAUGAAAAUACUAUCGAUGAAAGCAACAGUUUUACUUCGUAUUCGACAUCAAUAAAGUAGGUUGAAAUGUCAGUGGUUGAAAAGGCUAUUAAUUACAGACACCCUCCUCUAUUGUAACGACGUCGAUAACUUUUCUAUUAUCCUUUUAAAAGAAGAUUUAAGGCCAAAUAGUCCUAACAACAGUACGCUUGCAGGUCGUAUAAUCCUUACUAUCAUUAUCGAAAUUUUUUUUCUUUUUUAACACAACCUUUACAUCUGCUCCGAAACGAAUAAAAAUCUCGUUAUCCGGAAAAGACUAUCCUCAGCUGUUAGACUACACCCACAGAUGUUUCUAUUUGCAACACUUAUGAAAGUAUAAGCCAGAAAUUUGACAGAGUAUGAUUUUAUUUUUGGGAGUCAUAAAAUUUCAAAGGCAAGGACCACCACGUACACACAUGCUACGAUCCUUUGUUGUUAAUGGAAGCCUUGAUGAUCGCGGACAAUCGCCGAAGGUGUCUGUCUGCCUGACAAGCCGACACUCUCUACAUUGUAAUUAAUCAAUAUUACAUCGACAAUACUUGUAUGUGUGUUCCAGGCAAAAGCUAUUGUCGUAAUUUGCUGCUCUUCUCUUUUUUGUUUACGCCGCAAUCGGCCACAACCGCGAUUUUAAUUGUAUCGCUUUAAAGCAACAUUUUAAAAGUUGGUUGCUCAAACGAGAUGUACUUAAUGAAUCUUCGCGAUGCUAAUUGCACCGACUUGCAAAUUGCUCCGACGAUUUCCGACUCGUGCAUGUAUGAAUUAUAAAAAUUCCAUGAAUCAUGCAGUAAAUCAUUAAAAUAUAUUUAUAUAAAUCAACGAGCAAUAAAAAAAA